UACACCUUGAACUGUGAAGGCUUUUCCUAUUCCCUCUACCUGUAUGUGUAUAGUCAUCUCCGUUGUUUUGUUCACCCAUCUGACUGAAGAUUUUAUGGCAGCAACUAAAAGAAGGAACUAAGAUCCCUUUAAGAGCGGAGUCUAAGUGGUGGUUACAUUUACUGAGUUAUGACGGAUGAACCAUCCCUGUUUCUCUGGAGAUGGCGCCAACUUAAUCAUGGCAGAUCAUGGCAGAUUGGCUGCCCAGCAAGCCCCAGAGACUCUCAUGUCUCCGCCUCCUGUGUGCUGGGAUUACAGGAGGGAGUCGCCGUGCCUGGCUUCUUCAUGCAAGUUCUGGGGACACACACACUGAGGUCCUCAUGCAUUAACCAUCGUCCCAAACCUCUUCAGAGGCCUUUAACAGAACAAACAUAUGGCAGUUUAGAAUGUAAAAGCGCACCUAAGGUACUUUCUUUUAUUUUUAACUUAGAUGUGUGUGGGUAUGCCUGUGUGUGAGGAUGUGCAGAUGCAUGUGAGAGGGCCCAUGAUGGCCAGAUCCUCUGGAGCUGAGUUACAAACAUCUGAGCCACCGUAUGGGUACCGGCAACCCAUCUCGGGUCAUCUUCAAGAACAGUACGUGCUCUUAACCUCUGAACCCCCCUAUACUGACUUUCUAGGAUUAACACACACACACACACACACACACACACACACACACACACUCCCAUGUGUACACAAACUUAUGCAUUAUUGAGAAUUUGGCAUUUUCUGGUGAGAUCCCAGCUCUUGCCAUGACCCCCCCCCCCCCAUUUUAUGACAGGGAUCUUAUGAUCUUAUGUCAUCCGACCGACACAUCUCAGGAGUGCUCUUUUAUUUUUAAAUAUCUACAGAGAACAGCGAGAGACGCACUCAUGGCUUCCUGCUAGGAGACAGUAAGUGCCGUUCAAGGUUGGUGUCUCUUUCAUUCAAGUUUGGCUGAGUCAUUCACAGCUAACACUAUGUUUAGGAUUUGCUAAUACGGGCAUAACUUUCCAUGGAAGCAAAUAACAUUGCAGUCACCCAGCUUCCCACACCGCGUGUCCCAGAUGGGCUUGAGGAGGAUGCGCUGGUUCACACACCUCCCCCGGCAGCGGCAGCUCCAAGGAGUUGGGGUGACCUCCCUGUCCAUGUGCACGUCAAACCCUCCCACACCGCAAUCUGGAAUCUAAUGACCUAUUUGAGCUCUAAUUUUAAAAGUGCCCUACAGGCUUGCCUACGGCCCAAUCUUAUUGAAGAACUUUGUCAAUUGGUUCCCUGCUCUUAAAUGAUUUUAGCUUGUGUCAAACUGACAUAAAAACUAGCCGGCUAAUCAUGCUCUAAAUAUCCACCACAUUGGGACAAAUGACAAGAUUCAUGCAUAAAAACAAAGCAGCCAGAAAAUGAACUUCCACAGCAAGGAAUGAAAUCAGAGUGUCAAAAAGUGUAGGGGGGUUGGGGAUUUAGCUCAGUGGUAGAGCGCUUGCCUAGGAAGCGCAAGGCCCUGGGUUCGGUCCCCAGCUCCGAAAAAAAGAACCAAAAAAAAAAAAAAAAGUGUAGGGAGCCAUUCUGAGCUAUACAGUCACAAAGGAUGUGGGGAGCAGGUGUGGCGGCAGUCCCAAGAUGGUGCCCAGGACUGCAGUUAAGUCUCAUGACUAGAACCUGACUUCCUCACACACCUGAAACUAGCCACGUCCAUUGUGAGAGCUGCGCAGGCGCACCAUGACGCAAGAUCAGGCCAUGUGACCUAGACCUAUGAACUGAGAUUAUGCAGUCUGGACUGAGGAGGCGGAGUUGACGGAGGAUAAGGGUGUGUGCUCGGGGGCUGCGGAGAGAGAGAAAUAAGAAAAGAGAUUGUUGCUUGCAUGCAGAAAAAGGUUCCUGAAUAAACUGCUUUGAGAAGAACAUCGUGGUGUCCCUCCUUUCCUGCUGGUCGGGGUUGGUCGUGACAAAAAAGGGUGCCUGCUCCCCAAUUUUUUUGCAGUAUGUCUCAAUUCGCUUCUCUGUCACUGUGAUAAAUACCAUGACCAAAAGCAACUUGGAAAGGAAAGUUUCAUCUUACAGGAUAUAGACCAUGGGGAAGGAAGCAAAGGCAGGAACUCAAGCGGGAACCUGGAGGCCAGAACUGAAGCAGAGGCCAUGGACGAGGCAUGACUUGUUUGCCAUGCCUUGCUCGGGUUAAUUUUUUUACAACCCAGGACCAUCUGAAGUGGAAAACUCACUCCAAGAAAUUUGCGCUAGUGUGAUUAGCUAAUCAGAUGGAGGCAUUUUUCUCAGUAGAGGCUUCCUAUUCCCAAAUGACUCUACCUUGUGUCAAAGCGACAAAAACAGAAACAAACAAACAACAAACAAACAAAAAACAAACAAACAAAAAAAAAACCCCAGAACACAGUGCUAGUCACAGGAAUCAAGAUAUGGAAUCAUCCUAUGGAGAAAUGGAGAAAGAACAUACUACCUAGUAUUUUCUACUUUCUCCAUAUGCUGUUGUGGGAUGGGCUCAGCCGUGGACUCUUCUUGAAGGGUUCCAGGAGGAACCUGUUUACAGACAGCCUGAUUUUCAGAGGGAGGCUGCUGGGUGUGUGUGUGUGUGUGUGUGUGUGUGUGUGUGUGUGUGUCACAGGAGUCAUUGAAUUAUGGGAAAC